CCUACGGGAGGCAGCAGUGGGGAAUUUUGGACAAUGGGCGCAAGCCUGAUCCAGCCAUUCCGCGUGCAGGAUGAAGGCCUUCGGGUUGUAAACUGCUUUUGUACGGAACGAAAAGGCUCUGGCUAAUACCUGGGGCUCAUGACGGUACCGUAAGAAUAAGCACCGGCUAACUACGUGCCAGCAGCCGCGGUAAUACGUAGGGUGCGAGCGUUAAUCGGAAUUACUGGGCGUAAAGCGUGCGCAGGCGGUUUGGUAAGACAGGGGUGAAAUCCCCGGGCUUAACCUGGGAACUGCACUUGUGACUGCAAGGCUGGAGUACGGCAGAGGGGGAUGGAAUUCCGCGUGUAGCAGUAAAAUGCGUAGAUAUGCGGAGGAACACCGAUGGCGAAGGCAGUCCCCGGGGCCUGUACUGACGCUGAGGCGCGAAAGCUAGGGGAGCAAACGGGAUUAGAUACCCCUGUAGU
rnacentral:rRNA from 1 species